rnacentral:rRNA from 1 species
UUGAACGCUGGCGGCAGGCCUAACACAUGCAAGUCGAACGGUAACAGGAAGAAGCUUGCUUCUUUGCUGACGAGUGGCGGACGGGUGAGUAAUGUCUGGGAAACUGCCUGAUGGAGGGGGAUAACUACUGGAAACGGUAGCUAAUACCGCAUAACGUCGCAAGACCAAAGAGGGGGACCUUCGGGCCUCUUGCCAUCGGAUGUGCCCAGAUGGGAUUAGCUUGUUGGUGGGGUAACGGCUCACCAAGGCGACGAUCCCUAGCUGGUCUGAGAGGAUGACCAGCCACACUGGAACUGAGACACGGUCCAGACUCCUACGGGAGGCAGCAGUGGGGAAUAUUGCACAAUGGGCGCAAGCCUGAUGCAGCCAUGCCGCGUGUAUGAAGAAGGCCUUCGGGUUGUAAAGUACUUUCAGCGGGGAGGAAGGGAGUAAAGUUAAUACCUUUACUCAUUGACGUUACCCGCAGAAGAAGCACCGGCUAACUCCGUGCCAGCAGCCGCGGUAAUACGGAGGGUGCAAGCGUUAAUCGGAAUUACUGGGCGUAAAGCGCACGCAGGCGGUUUGUUAAGUCAGAUGUGAAAUCCCCGGGCUCAACCUGGGAACUGCAUCUGAUACUGGCAAGCUUGAGUCUCGUAGAGGGGGGUAGAAUUCCAGGUGUAGCGGUGAAAUGCGUAGAGAUCUGGAGGAAUACCGGUGGCGAAGGCGGCCCCCUGGACGAAGACUGACGCUCAGGUGCGAAAGCGUGGGGAGCAAACAGGAUUAGAUACCCUGGUAGUCCACGCCGUAAACGAUGUCGACUUGGAGGUUGUGCCCUUGAGGCGUGGCUUCCGGAGCUAACGCGUUAAGUCGACCGCCUGGGGAGUACGGCCGCAAGGUUAAAACUCAAAUGAAUUGACGGGGGCCCGCACAAGCGGUGGAGCAUGUGGUUUAAUUCGAUGCAACGCGAAGAACCUUACCUGGUCUUGACAUCCACAGAACCUUGUAGAGAUACGAGGGUGCCUUCGGGAACUGUGAGACAGGUGCUGCAUGGCUGUCGUCAGCUCGUGUUGUGAAAUGUUGGGUUAAGUCCCGCAACGAGCGCAACCCUUGUGAUAUGUUACUAACAUUGAGUUGAGGACUCAUAUCAGACUGCCGGUGACAAACCGGAGGAAGGUGGGGAUGACGUCAAAUCAUCAUGCCCCUUAUGACUUGGGCUACACACGUGCUACAAUGGCGCAUACAAAGAGAAGCGACCUCGCGAGAGCAAGCGGACCUCAUAAAGUGCGUCGUAGUCCGGAUUGGAGUCUGCAACUCGACUCCAUGAAGUCGGAAUCGCUAGUAAUCGUGGAUCAGAAUGCCACGGUGAAUACGUUCCCGGGCCUUGUACACACCGCCCGUCACACCAUGGGAGUGGGUUGCAAAAGAAGUAGGUAGCUUAACCUUCGGGAGGGCGCUUACCACUUUGUGAUUCAUGACUGGGGUG